GACGAACGCUGGCGGCGUGCUUAACACAUGCAAGUCGAACGGAAAGGCCCUGCUUUUGUGGGGUGCUCGAGUGGCGAACGGGUGAGUAACACGUGAGUAACCUGCCCUUGACUUUGGGAUAACUUCAGGAAACUUGGGCUAAUACCGGAUAGGAGCUCCUGCUGCAUGGUGGGGGUUGGAAAGUUUCGGCGGUUGGGGAUGGACUCGCGGCUUAUCAGGGUGGUGGUGGGGUAGUGGCUUACCAAGGCUUUGACGGGUAGCCGGCCUGGGAGGGGGGCCGGCCCCACUAGGCCUGGGAUACGGCCCAGCCUCCAAUGGGAGGCAGCGGUGGGGAGUAUUACACAAUAGGCGGGAGCCUAGUGCGGCAACGCCGCGUGCGGGAUGUGGGCCUGCGGGUAGUAAACCGCUUUCGCUUGAGACGAGGCGUUAAUGACGGUACUGUGUAAAGAAGCACCGGCUAACUACGUG
rnacentral:rRNA from 1 species